GCCCCGUGGCCUAGCCGGUAACGCUUUUGCCUUCCACCCAGAAGGUCAGGAGUUCGAUUCCACCUGGCGGCA